rnacentral:rRNA from 1 species
GAUGAACGCUGGCGGCGUGCCUAAUACAUGCAAGUCGAGCGAAUGGAUUGAGAGCUUGCUCUUAUGAAGUUAGCGGCGGACGGGUGAGUAACACGUGGGUAACCUGCCCAUAAGACUGGGAUAACUCCGGGAAACCGGGGCUAAUACCGGAUAACAUUUUGAACCGCAUGGUUCGAAAUUGAAAGGCGGCUUCGGCUGUCACUUAUGGAUGGACCCGCGUCGCAUUAGCUAGUUGGUGAGGUAACGGCUCACCAAGGCAACGAUGCGUAGCCGACCGGAGAGGUUGCUCGGCCACACUGGGACUGAGACACGGCCCAGACUCCUGCGGGAGGCAGCAGUAGGGAAUCUUCCGCAAUGGACGAAAGUCUGACGGAGCAACGCCGCGUGAGUGACGAAGGCUUUCGGGUCAUAAAACUCUGUUGUUAGGGAAGAACAAGUGCUAGUUGAAUAAGCUGGCACCUUGACGGUACCUAACCAGAAAGCCACGGCUAACUACGUGCCAGCCGCCGCCGUAA